AAUUAGAGCCUUAGUGGCAGAAAUUGUGUUUAAUUUAGGUUUAAAAGAUCAUUAAGGUUG
rnacentral:tRNA from 1 species